GAUGAACGCUAGCUACAGGCCUAACACAUGCAAGUCGAGCGACCGGCGCACGGGUGAGUAACACGUAUCCAACCUGCUCUUUACUCGUGGAUAGCCUUUCGAAUGAAUGAUUACUACACGAUAUCAAGGAUGGGGAUGCGUUGCAUUUGGUUGUUGGUGAGGUAACGGAACACCAAGACUUCGAUGGAUAGGGGUUCUGUGAGGAGGGACACCGAGAUUGGAACUGGGCCACGACCCAAACUCCUAGGGGAGGGAGCAGUGAGGAAUAUUGGGCAAGAGGCGCUAGCCUGAACCGGCCAAGUAGCGGAAAGGAUGAAGGGUUAUGAGGCGUAAACGUCUUAGAUGUAAGAAUAGGUAAUAUAUGAAUAAGGAUCGGCUAACUCCGUGCCAGCCGCCGCGGUAAUAC
rnacentral:rRNA from 1 species